rnacentral:rRNA from 1 species
AGCAGCCGCCGCGGUAAUACGGAGGGAGCUAGCGUUGUUCGGAAUUACUGGGCGUAAAGCGUGCGUAGGUGGUGGUUUAAGUCCGUUGUGAAAGCCCUGGGCUCAACCUGGGAAUUGCAGUGGAUACUGGGUCACUAGAGUGUGGUAGAGGAUAGUGGAAUUUCCGGUGUAGCAGUGAAAUGCGUAGAGAUCGGAAGGAACAUCUGUGGCGAAGGCGACUAUCUGGGCCAACACUGACACUGAGGCACGAAAGCGUGGGGAGCAAACAGGAUUAGAUACCCCAGUAGUCCCUGUCUCUUAUAC